rnacentral:rRNA from 1 species
ACACAUGCAAGUCGAACGAAGGCUUCNNCCUUAGUGGCGCACGGGUGCGUAACGCGUGGGAAUCUGCCCCUCGGUUCGGAAUAACAGUUAGAAAUGACUGCUAAUACCGGAUGAUGACGUAAGUCCAAAGAUUUAUCGCCGAGGGAUGAGCCCGCGUAGGAUUAGCUAGUUGGUGUGGUAANAGCGCACCAAGGCGACGAUCCUUAGCUGGUCUGAGAGGAUGAUCAGCCACACUGGGACUGAGACACGGCCCAGACUCCUACGGGAGGCAGCAGUGGGGAAUAUUGGACAAUGGGCGAAAGCCUGAUCCAGCAAUGCCGCGUGAGUGAUGAAGGCCUUAGGGUUGUAAAGCUCUUUUACCCGGGAUGAUAAUGACAGUACCGGGAGAAUAAGCUCCGGCUAACUCCGUGCCAGCAGCCGCGGUAAUACGGAGGGAGCUAGCGUUAUUCGGAAUUACUGGGCGUAAAGCGCACGUAGGCGGCUUUGUAAGUAAGAGGUGAAAGCCCAGAGCUCAACUCUGGAAUUGCCUUUUAGACUGCAUCGCUUGAAUCA